UUAAACGUUAGCAGAGAUGUUUCUGGGGAAGGUGUUCAGCAGGCACUACUGAAAAUGCUAGAAGGAACUAUCGUGAGUGUACCUGAAAAGGGGGCAAGGAAGCAUCCUCGUGGUGAGAAUAUUCAGAUAGAUACGAAAGACAUUCUUUUCAUCUGUGGUGGCGCGUUCAUUGAUUUGGAGAAGACUAUUUCUGAGAGACGACAGGAUUCUUCAAUCGGUUUUGGCGCUCCAGUUCGUGCUAACAUGAGAACUGGAGGAAUAACAAAUGCAACUGUAACAUCAACCUUACUAGAAUCUGCAGAAAGUAGUGAUUUUAUUACAUACGGCCUCAUACCAGAGUUUAUUGGGCGUUUUCCUAUUUUAGUUAGUUUAUCUGCGCUGACGGAGGACCAGCUUGUUCAGGUCCUUACUGAACCAAAAAAUGCUCUUUGCAAGCAAUAUAAAAAACUAUUUAGCAUGAACAAUACUAAGCUACAUUUUACGGAGGGAGCCUUACGUUUGAUUGCCAAGAAAGCAAUGGUCAAAAAUACUGGUGCUAGG
rnacentral:misc_RNA from 1 species